UGUCUAUCUAUAAUAACGCUGCAUAAAACUUUUCGAGCAUGUUUACUAUUGCAGCAGCAAUCCCCAAAAGCGUUGACCGAAAAUAAGGGAAGAAAAAAAUACUAUACGCACCAACAACAGUAACUGAGAAUUGCGAAAGAAAUAUACGACGAGAAAUUGUUUUUAUCCCACACCGAGCAUUAAACGAAAACGCGCGAGUGUGAAAAUUGUUAUUAUUAUUUUUUUUUCUGCUUAAGAAUUUCUAUCGACUCAAUUUACUUUUCUAUAUACUUGCCAUAAUCCAUUUCUAAUUGAUUAAAAUCCAUCUGUUUGCCCUUAUUGUAGUGAUAUUCCUUUAGGUUUUUGGUUUAUCCAAUGUAUAUGAGAGUUAUCUACCUACAUUUACUAUCGCAACACCGACGGGAACCGCUGAUUGAGAUGAUGGUAAAACGUUUUGCUCUUUUAUCGAUUUAUAUAAUAAAACUAUAGUAGUUUUCGUGAAUAACGCGUGAGUCAAUUCAAUAUUCAAGUACGGGAAAUCGUUGGUUAUUUUUAUUGUUUUCUUUAAACCGUAGGAAUUCAGUA